UGCAGUUGAGUCAAAUUCAGCUUUCAUCCUCUCGUGGUGGGAGCUGGCCCAGAUGGCUGCUACAGCAAGCUCUGCUGCUCAUGGGCCCUAUUCUCGGUAUUGGGACCUAGAGAUAAGGUUGUCUGCAGACAAAG